CACUACUCUGUGAGACAUAUCAUUGCAGUAGGCAAGUGUGAGGAGACAGGUGCUAAAGAAUCUCACAGUCACUGCAGGAUACUUAACAGGCUUAUUUGCAAUCUGCAGAGUAUGGAGCUAAAACAGAAGGUGAAAGAAAUCCAUAUGGGAGCCUUGGUGUUGUAGGGAGUUACAGACUAGACAAGCAGUAUCAGAGAAAGGCCCAAUUCUUUGAAUCCCAACAGAAUGAGAAUCUACAGCUUUCACCAUAUCAACAGAACAAAACAGGAGUGGGAGACAGCUAUGCCCAGCUGUCUGCUCUGUACACAUCCUACCACCAAGCACCACACACAGAUAUUGGCAGGGACCUGCAAAGAGAUCAUAAACUGAUUCCAGAUACAACUCUAAGAUGUCUCUAUUCAUGCUCCAGAGCUUCCCAGAAAUCUACACACUUCUCAGUGGUUUCUAACCAUUACUAAUUAUCCCAUAAGUAUCUAAUAGUCCUUUCCCAACUGUUCAGUAAGUUUGUGUCAUGAUACGGAU